rnacentral:rRNA from 1 species
GGGAAUUUUGCGCAAUAGGGGAAACCCUGACGCAGCAACGCCGCGUGAGCGAAGAAGGCCCUCGGGUCGUAAAGCUCUGUCAAGUGGGAAAAAAGCUUACUGGUAAAUAGCCAGGAAGACUGAUGGUACCAUUGAAGGAAGCACCGGCUAACUCCGUGCCAGCAGCCGCGGUAAUACGGAGGGUGCAAGCGUUGUUCGGAAUUACUGGGCGUAAAGGGCGUGUAGGCGGUGUGGUAAGUCAGAUGUGAAAGCCCUGGGCUUAACCCAGGAAGUGCAUUUGAAACUGCCAUGCUUGAGUAUGGGAGAGGAGAGUGGAAUUCCCAGUGUAGAGGUGAAAUUCGUAGAUAUUGGGAGGAACACCCGUGGCGAAGGCGACUCUCUGGACCAAUACUGACGCUGAGGCGCGAAAGCGUGGGGAGCAAACAGGAUUAGA